rnacentral:lncRNA from 1 species
CUGCAUCUGAAACUGAGCUCUUAAAAAAGCACGAAGACUUGUUGGUAAGUAGUUUGGUGCAACUGCUUCGAUUCUUGUUAUCUUUCCAUGUCUUAUGUGUGUUCGCUCUUUGUCAGAAUGGUCCGACACAUAUCACUGAUCCAACACCUGUUGCUGGUCCAACACAUAUCACUGAUCCAACACCUGUUGCUGGUCCAACACAUAUCACUAUGUUGCCUCUUCCAAAAGAGAAGCAUGAUGAAGUACUGAAUGCUCCUGAUCAUGCUGAGCAUGAGCAGCCUGAUUCCGAUACAGAUUUCGACCCAUUAGAUUUUCCUGAAGUUCCUAAGAUC